GACACGAUGGCCGAGUGGUUAAGGCGUUGCACUUGAAAUGCAAUGGGUUCAUCCCGCGCAGGUUCAAACCCUGCUCGUGUCG